rnacentral:rRNA from 1 species
CGUCUAUAUACGUAUAGCAUAUCAAUAAGCGGAGGAAAAGAAACUAACUAGGAUUCCCUUAGUAACGGCGAGUGAAGCGGGAAGAGCUCAAAUUUGAAAUCUUCAAGGUUCUACCUUGACGAAUCGUAGUUUAAAGAAGUGUUUUCUGUUGGAGUUUUGGUAAAAGUUCUUUGGAAUAGGACAUCAUAGAGGGUGAGAAUCCCGUAUUUGACCAUUAUUUCCAACUUUGUGAUACACUUUCAAAGAGUCGGAUUGUUUGGGAAUGCAGUCCAAAAUGGGUGGUAAAUUUCAUCUAAAGCUAAAUAUUGGCGAGAGACCGAUAGCGAACAAGUACCGUGAGGGAAAGAUGAAAAGAACUUUGAAAAGAGAGUUAAACAGUACGUGAAAUUGUCAAAAGGGAAGCGUUUGACACCAGUGUUGUUUUCUCGAAAAUCAAUUAAAAAUGGUGGGAUUUUGUGUUGUAUUGACUUUAUCAGCUUUCUGCACUUUUUUCCUAUCUUUUUUAAUGCACUUUUCGUUUAACAAGUCAACAUCAAUUUCUUUUGUUGUAAAAGAGUCAUUGGAAGGUGGCUUUCUUUUCGGAGAAAGUGUUUAUAGCCUUUGACUUCUGCAAUCGGAGAGAUUGAGGUCUGCAGCGUAGAUCCUUCGGGGUUAGAUACAUUUGUGCUAAGUUAUAGCCUUUCAUAGACAACUUGUUGACUAUGAUCAGUCAUGUAGCUUACUCGCUUAUGUUAUUUUACCUACGCUUAGGAUGUUGAUCUGUAGUGCGUGCGC